rnacentral:rRNA from 1 species
UACGUAGGGGGCAAGCGUUGUCCGGAUUUAUUUGGCGUAAAGAGCGUGUAGGCGGCUUCGCAAGUCCGUUGUGAAAACUCGAGGCUCAACCUCGAGACGCCGGUGGAAACUGCAAAGCUAGAGUCCGGAAGAGGAGAGUGGAAUUCCUGGUGUAGCGGUGAAAUGCGCAGAUAUCAGGAAGAACACCCGUGGCGAAGGCGGCUCUCUGGGACGGUACUGACGCUGAGACGCGAAAGCGUGGGGAGCGAACAGG